rnacentral:rRNA from 1 species
GAUGAACGCUGGCGGCGUGCUUAACACAUGCAAGUCGAACGAUGAAGCCCAGCUUGCUGGGUGGAUUAGUGGCGAACGGGUGAGUAACACGUGAGUAACCUGCCCUUAACUCUGGGAUAAGCCUGGGAAACUGGGUCUAAUACCGGAUAGGAGCGUCCACCGCAUGGUGGGUGUUUGAAAGAUUUAUCGGUUCUGGAUGGACUCGCGGCCUAUCAGCUUGUUGGUGAGGUAAUGGCUCACCAAGGCGACGGCGGGUAGCCGGCCUGAGAGGGUGACCGGCCACACUGGGACUGAGACACGGCCCAGACUCCUACGGGAGGCAGCAGUGGGGAAUAUUGCACAAUGGGCGCAAGCCUGAUGCAGCGACGCCGCGUGAGGGAUGCCGGCCUUCGGGUUGUAAACCUCUUUCAGUAGGGAAGAAGCGAAAGUGACGGUACCUGCAGAAGAAGCACCGGCUAACUACGUG